CAGAGAAUAGUUUAUAUAAAAUAUUAGUUUUGGGGACUAAUGAUAGGAGGUUCCUUCUUUCUCUGA
rnacentral:tRNA from 1 species